CUGAAGCAGUUAGGGUUGUAGCUGACUCUGUCAAAGGAGUACUGUGCUCGCUCUAUUCUUCUACUUUUCCCCCUGUGCACCUUUUGUAGGCUAUGAUAUCCAUCGUGUGUGAGUUCACGCUCAUUACCGGUUCAAGGGAUUGCUGGUUUACUCCGGCUGCUCUUGCCCUUCAUAUGCCUAUGUCUUUAUACACUCUUUACAAGUCUAGAAUGUCUUUUGUGGGUCUAUUGACCUAUAAACUUAAUA
rnacentral:misc_RNA from 1 species